AUGGAAGGAGUGCAGGAACUUUCCAAUCCAAACGAUUACAGAACGAUACCCUUUCCCUACCUGUGGUGUUGGAAGAGUCUGCAUGGAGAUGAAGAUGCAUCAACACAUUGGAAAGAUGUUUGUGGUGCACUCAAGCUUGACAAGAAGCAAUCAGUUGCCAGGAAAAAAGACAGAUUGAAGUCUUCAAUCAAACGGACAUAGAAAUAUGUGUGCACCAGGCCAAGACUUCUUGCAUGCAUGGCCUUGAGAUCAGGAGAGGAAGAGUGGAAGAGCAAUAUGGUGCGAGACAGUGAUGUCAUCCAACAUCUGAGAGACCUGGGGCUCUGUGAUACACACACACACACACACACACACACACACACACACACACACACACACACACACACACACACACACACACACACACAUUGUAUACACAUACAGGACAAACAAUAAUAGGAAUAUAUUAUAUAAUAUUGUAUCACGUUACUACAGUUGGAUUCCUACCUUUUUCUGUGAAUGAGCA
rnacentral:lncRNA from 13 species